ACUGAGACAACUCUAUGCGGUGGAUCACUCGGCUCGUGCGUCGAUGAAGAGCGCAGCCAGCUG
rnacentral:rRNA from 1 species